UACGGGGGGGGCAAGCGUUGUUCGGAAUUACUGGGCGUAAAGGGCCAGUAGGCGGCCAACUAAGUCGGACGUGAAAUCCCCAGGCUUAACCUGGGAACUGCAUCCGAUACUGGAUGGCUUGAAUUCGGGAGAGGGAUGCAGAAUUCCAGGUGUAGCGGUGAAAUGCGUAGAUAUCUGGAGGAAUACCGGUGGCGAAGGCGGCAUCCUGGACCGACAUUGACGCUGAGUGAGCGAAAGCUAGGGGAGCAAACGGG
rnacentral:rRNA from 1 species